GCAGCUUGAAUUGCUUUCCUUUUCCACUCCCAAAGAAAAUAUAAAAUUAUCGGCACCCACACACAUAUUACACUCAAAACUAUAGUGACAUUCUCUACGUAGAACUACAUUAGAGUUUAAAUUGCUGAAAAAUCAAGACAAUUCUAAGAAGUGGUUGAGAGAUGUUCCUCUUCUUCUAAAAACAGUUGAUAGGUAGGGAAGUAAUUUAGAUAAAAUUCUUGUCUAUGGUUGUCAAAAGUUUCUUAAAAGAUGCAUUUCAACUAAAAGAAGAUCCAAAUUAAUGUACUCCCUACCCUCACCUUCCUUUGCUAACACCCUUUCAGCGAGUGUUUUCUUCCUCUGCAAAGGAAAAACAAAUUGGAUUUGAAAAAUAUUCUCAAGUUUCAUAGCUGAAAUUUGGGGCAAAUGUGUCCAGACCAGCUAGCAUUCUCUAUAAAUAUCAACAAAAGCAGGCUUGGGGAUUCUGUGCUUUGGGUCCAAGGAUCCUGGCAAGAAACACAUGUUGAGAUUCCUCUAGUUCAGAAUUUCCAGGGGGUGGAGGUAGAGCCACCUCAACUGUCU
rnacentral:lncRNA from 1 species